ensembl:lncRNA
GAAUCUUUCCACAUCUGCAUUUUUUCUGGCAGCAAAUAGACUUCUCUCUUGUGAGCAUGCUAUUGAUGCUCUUCUUCAGCACUAACACACAUCUAAUGUGAGGGAAGGAUAUCCUUGUUUAGAUUUGCUCACUCCUACAUCCUCUGCAUUUAGCAAUCUGCCAGGGAGCAGGUGCAGCAUCUGACAAAUGCCUUGCUGCAGUUUCCGCCUCCUCUGCAUCCCUUCAGCUUCUGUUUUUUAGUGGAUUGAUAUAUGGGGUCUCCCAUGUGAGCAUUGCAGAUGGAGGGCUGUGAGGCUGAGGCAUCUACACUGCUUUACAACCAGCAUUACAGCACAAGAGUGGUCUUACAGCAGUGAUACAUCCCGAAUCUGAGCUGUGUGAUGAAGCGAGGCCGCACGGCAGUCAUCACCCAUUCCUACAGCAGGCUUCCAAAUACAAACUGAAAAUAUAGCAUCAGGACAGUGGUUUCACCCAAGUCAGGUUCACAGGUCUAUCCACCAUCUGGAGCAAUUACAAGGUGGCUGGAAAGCCAUGGAAAUACUGUUCCCAAAGAAAGGACGUCCACUAGUGGAGGCACGGGUCCAUCCCAGAACCCUCACUCAUACCUCCAGGACAGUGAUGUGCUUCUCCACUAAGAUGCAGAAUGGAAGGGUCUGAGGACCUGAUGUUAACAUUUUUAGACAGGUAUCUCUUGGGGUCCAUCAUGUUUCUGGCAGUGUAACAGGAGAAACACCUUUGAGCUCCAACCUCUCUUUGGGAUUGUAACAGCAGCUGCAGGUUAUACAGAAGUCACUUAAAUGCUUAAAAUAAAUGUAUUAAUUGAGACCCAGAAACAGUUUUUACCAAAGACUUUAGCUUGUCUAACUUAAAAAGAAGUGGGAGCUGGCUGUUCACAAAAUGGUUUGCAGAGCUGGGUACAUAAUUUCUCCUCUAACAAAUCAUAGAAUCACAGAAUGGCCUGGGUUGAAAAGGACCACAGUGCUCAUCUCGUUCCAACCCCCUGCUAUGUGCAGGGUUGCCAGCCAGCAGACCAGGCUGCCCAGAGCCACGUCCAGCCUGGCCUUGAAUGCCUGCAGGGAUGGGGCAUCCACAGCCUCCUUGGGCAACCUGUUCAGUGCGUCACCACCCUCUGGGGGAAAAACUCCUCCUCCUCAUAUCUAACUGAAAUGGCAGCAAGUGUGACAGUUCUCUUUAAUGCAAAAGGGAGAUAGGGAUGAAGACCUCUAAGAUGUUUAGAUCUCUCUAUAAGGGCUUUUAGAGAUGAAAUCCCUGGUAAUGGCAAUGUAACAAUAUUUGGCAGCAGAAACAAGGUCACUGAAGCAUCCUUUGCCAUGCUGCAUGGGUCAUUCUGGUGCCUGUUCACCCCUUUGGAGGCUGAGGGUCACAGCAGUGAUGCACUGACCUGCAGCCCUGAGCCUGCUGGGGCUGUGGUGCUCUGUGGAUUCAUCUCCUGCUCCAUGCCGUUAAUGUAAAAGGGAGGAAUGCAAGAAAGGCCAUUGUCCCCACAUUGCCAGCUGGCCCAGCAGCUGGUGGAGAAGGAAAGUGCCUUAACAUCACAUGAGAAAAAAAACAAAGGGGGAUUUUCAAUGUUUAUGAUAGACUUUGCAAGUCCCAGAGUUAAUGAAAUUGCCCAGGAAACCCAAGUAGCUGCUGAGAAAGUGCUGAAGAAGCUCUUGAAGAAAUCCCAUUUCAAUUUGCUUAUUUAAGUUACUUGUAAAAAGACCUCUUUGUUAUCUAAUCUGUUGAUGAGUUCAGACACUUUCUGGAACGAUUGCUUGCAUAAUUUACUUUAUUGGUACAUUAUUUAAAAGUUCUCUUUCAGCUUCAGGCCAGGGGUUUGGCAGUCAGUCUUACACAAUGGGAAGUUGGUGUCACUUCGUGUCAGAGCAAUCAGGAGCAUUGGUGACAAUCCAGAGUUUGCCACAAAAGCUGCAGUGUAACCAGAGCAUUGUAGGGAGAAACCCUUAUUGGCAGGCAGAUAAUGUUUUGCAUGAGG